UACGGAGGGGGCCAGCGUUGUCCGGAAUCAUUGGGCGUAAAGAGCGUGUAGGCGGCCAGAAAAGUCCGCUGUGAAAACUCGAGGCUCAACUUCGAGCUGUCGGUGGAAACUUUCUGGCUAGAGUCCGGAAGAGGAGAAUGGAAUUCCUGGUGUAGCGGUGAAAUGACGCAGAUAUCAGGAAGAACACCCGUGGCGAAGGCGGUCUCUGGGACGGUACUGACGCUGAGACGCGAAAGCGUGGGGAGCGAACAGG
rnacentral:rRNA from 1 species